rnacentral:rRNA from 1 species
GACGAACGCUGGCGGCGUGCUUAAUACAUGCAAGUGGAGCGACGAACCAGGCUUCGGCCUGGGGCAGAGCCGCGAACGGGUGAGUAACACGUGGGUAACCUGCCUCGAUGACCGGGACAACCCGGGGAAACCCGGGCUAAUACCGGAUGUGCUGUCCCCACAUCAGUGGAGACAGGAAAGGAAGCUUCGGCCUCCGCAUCGAGAUGGGCCCGCGGCCCAUUAGCUCGUUGGUGUGGUAACGGCUCACCAAGGCUGCGAUGGGUAGCUGGUCUGAGAGGACGAUCAGCCACACUGGGACUGAGACACGGCCCAGACUCCUACGGGAGGCAGCAGUAGGGAAUCUUGCGCAAUGCGCGAAAGCGUGACGCAGCAACGCCGCGUGGGGGAA